rnacentral:siRNA from 1 species
AUGUAUAGGGAAGCUAACUGCCUC